rnacentral:lncRNA from 1 species
CCGUUUCCAGUGAUAAAUGAUGAUCGAUGUUGAUAAUGUUGCCACCGUUACUGAUGACGGUGUUGGCUGUCGAGGAUGGCGAUGGUGGCGGUGGCGUACCGACGACGGCAGUGAACGACGGUGGUGACGGAUUCGUGUUAGGGUUUUAGCGGGCCAGAUUAGUUUGGUCAGUUCAAACUCGGGUUCGGAUGUUUAGAUCCAGUGGUUCGAUUUAGUCACGGCUCUCAGGUUAUUCACGGUCAAAAUGUUCGGGGUCAGACUCGGUUCAAGCAUAAUUUGAGUUCUGGUCAACUUCUAGUCAACAGUUGGGGGUGGUGGUGUUACUUCUUGAUUCGGGUUUCGGUUUUGGUCAACCACAGUCCACAUCAGCUCCGGUUCAGUUCCGAAAUGUUUGGUGCAAAAUAGUCACAGUGAACGGUUCGGGUCAAGGGUUGGUUCAACUCGGUUUGACUCGGUCAAACCGAGUCAACGCAGUCAACAGACGAUCAACAGAAGUCAACGAAAGACGCGUUGUACGCUAGCUAAUUCAAGUUCUUGGAACAAUCUCAUGGAAACACAUGUAGCUAGCUUUGCACAGGAAUAUCAAGGUUAAAUUUUUCAAACUACGGAACGGUUGGAAUAGGAGAACCCAUGGGAUUCGAGUACUUAGCGGCGUUCACUUUUUAUAAUUCU